UUUUGUACACACGUUAUUGUGGCUUUUCACCUCCGUCUACCACUCCCACCGCUCCCACUCAGGAUCCACACAAUACUGCUGUGCUGUUUCUAUGUCAAACCACAUUAAUCUUAAUUAUUGCCUCACAAGAUCUGGGAAGAAAAAUUCCAAUUAAUAUUUACUAAUUAUAUAAUAAUAAUAUUAAGAAGAAGAAGAAUAAUUCACAAAUAUAGAAUACCUUAAGACCCUCCACAUGAUUUCUUUUCCUGUUUUUUUGUAUUUAUUUGUUUUUAUAUAUUUUUUGUAUUGCAUUUAUUUUUUACAUUUACAUUAAGGUGCACAAAGUAGUACAGAUAAGUGAGCAGUGUUGGGAACGUGCUAUAGGGAGGGUACAGUCUACCACUUCUUGUGCUUGUCUUGGACUUAUAUAGUUCAAAGUUUUAAACGGAGUCCAUCUGUCCAAGUCGAGACUUUCUGUGAUGUACCCUGAGGUAGAGGACAAGUGUGAUAAAUGCCAUGGCUCUCCCUGCCAUCUUGGCCAUAUGUUUUUCUUCUGCCCUGAUCUCCAUGGUUUUUGGUCUGGUUUUUUUACCAUCAUGUCCACUAUUCUUAGGGUAGAUUUAAAGCCUUGCCCAUUGAUUGCUGUAUUUGGGAUUCCUGAUGACUCCGUUCCAUUGAGCUCGAUACAAAAGGAUGUUAUUGCUUUCAUAUCCCUUAUAGCAAGACGUUCCCUACUGUUGCAUUGGAAGUCUGCUAAAUACCCAUCUAUCUCCCAGUGGCUAAAGGACGUGAUGUUUUUUGUAAAACUCGAGAAAAUAAGGGAGGGGAGGAGAGAAGAAAAAAGUUUCCUUAUUUUAUUACGGAACGGUGUAAUUAGACACCAAGCAUACAUCAAGCAUGCACUUGAGAAUGAAGACAUCUGCCUCAGAGCUCUAUAAAUGAUGCAACUAUCAUCCAUCCAUUUUCUAUACCGCUUAUCCUACAUGGCCACAGGGAACCUGGAGCCUAUAUCCCAGGGAGCAUCGGGCACAAGGCGGGGUACACCAUGGACAGGGUGCCAAUCUAUUGCAGGGCACAAUCACACACACAUUCACACACCCAUUCACACACUAUGGACAGUUUGGACAUGCCAAU